CAAGGCUGGGGGAGGGCCCCGCUGCCCGUGGCGCCACCAUGCACUGCUCCAGUGGCACGCUGAGUCCUCACAAUGCUUCUUCGAGCUUGGAGGGGGCAAGGGUGAAGGGGACAGGGACAGCACCAUCAGCGAGACCCCUGGGGGUGGGAGCUACUGCUUACCUGCACACUCACAGCCUUCUGGGGGUAGCUGGAUUGUUUCCAUUUCACAAGUAGAGAAACUGAGGCCCGGCCCAGGUCAACCUGGCAGUGUGUGUCCUGAUAAGUGGAGGGCCUGGGCUUCCGUGUUUAGCCUGCCAGCCCCCUUGUCCAUUUCUUUCCAAGAUACGGUACCUUCCGUGAAGCUCACGGGUAAAUAACCAUGUGGAGGAUAAAGCUCAUUUAUAGAAUCCACUUAAAUGACUGUUUGAUUAACCAGGAAGAUUGUUUUUGAUCCCGGCCAGUCCUGUGUCUCUCAGAAAGAAAACAGAUGAGUGUACAUCAGCUAUAGCCAGCAGUACGGUAGAGGUGGGGUGCCGGUGAUUGUGAUCCUGGACAGCUGCAGAGGAGCCUUGGUCUGCGCAGGCCUUUGCCGUUUGUCCUGCCAAGGGAGAAACAGAGCCACACAGUUGUCACACUGAUGUUCAGGCAACAAGUCAUGAUGUGGACUCUGAAAACCAGCAUUCUGCACUUUCCCAUCGAGACGGCGGUCAUAUAAUUAAAUCCUUUGAGUAU
rnacentral:lncRNA from 1 species